rnacentral:piRNA from 1 species
AUACCUUCCAGUGAAACGCAGAAGGAGAC